rnacentral:rRNA from 1 species
GAUCGAAAGGGGAGAUUCAUCGGUCASGACGCUUGCUUCGCGUCGGUGGGCGAUGUCCCGCGGAGUCCUCGCGGCUCGCGCGCGGGCACGCUACCGUGCGUCGAUGUCCGGCUGUCGUCGUCGUGCACUUCUCCCCAAGUAGAACGUCGCGACCCGCUGGGUGUCGGUCUACGGCCCGGGUGCGGUGACUGCCGCGUCGCCGGUAAAACGGCACGCGACAAACCCUCGGACGCCCGGCCGGCUGCUCGGCGGUACGCGCAUGGUAUCAGGCCGCACUCUUUAACGAGAUGCGUCGAGGCCGUCGCAAGCGCGCGCCACGGUACUCGGAGGUUACGGACUCAGCGCCGUCCCCGGCUCCUGGCCCGCUGUUGGUUAACGCAAAAGUACGGAUAACCUUCGACAGGCCUGCGAACGUCUCCCUCUUCGGGGGGUGACGGAUACCGGUCGGCGACGCU